CUUAGCCAAUCGAAAGUAGACCUGGUGUUCGAAACACAAAGUUAUUUUGGUAAGCGGGUGCUACCUAGAUUUUGGUAUUUUCGAGACGGAAUUGAUAAAUGUUUUCUACAUAUAGCUAGCUAAUUGCAAAGUGAGCAGCAAAGAUGGUGCUUCACCUUGAUAAAGAGCAUGCACUGUUGGAAUGGGUUAACCACCUGAAUGUGGACCUCCCGGUGCGGAGCAUCAACGAUUUACAGGAUGGCGUUUUGUUGAUGAAGCUCGUCUAUAAACUGAGAAAGGAAGAGCCCGCUAAUUCCUAUUUGGACCAGCAUGUCCAGGAGAGGCUGAAAGUGGUCUCUGACUUCCUGCAAGGUGAGUCACACUCACUGAUCACUAGUCAUGGGGGGGGGGGGUGUAGUUUUCCCCCAUAGACACAUGGCUAAUAGUCCUGCCGUUGUGUUUUUUCCAGGUGACUGUAGGUGCAGCACAGAACGGGGAGCUCUCAUCUCCUGGGACAACAUCAGCAAUGGACUAAACCUGGAGGUGGAGUUAUCCAAGGUAUCAGGUUCAUACACCUGGGUUUUAUUCACUGACCAAAUGUGUCUCCAGUACAAGUAUACAUCAUGAAUUGAUGGAUGGAAUGCUCAGAGACCACUGCAC
rnacentral:lncRNA from 1 species